GUCUUAAUAGUUUAAAAAAAAAUUUUAAAUUGCAAGUUUAAAGAUAAUUAAAUAAAUUUUAAGAUU
rnacentral:tRNA from 1 species